AACGAACGCUGGCGGCAUGCCUAACACAUGCAAGUCGAACGAGACCUUCGGGUCUAUUGGCGCACGGGUGCGUAACGCGUGGGAACCUGCCCUUAGGUUCGGAAUAACUCCCCGAAAGGGGUGCUAAUACCGGAUAAUGUCUUCGGACCAAAGAUUUAUCGCCUUUGGAUGGGCCCGCGUUGGAUUAGCUAGUUGGUAGGGUAAAAGCCUACCAAGGCGACGAUCCAUAGCUGGUCUGAGAGGAUGAUCAGCCACACUGGGACUGAGACACGGCCCAGACUCCUACGGGAGGCAGCAGUGGGGAAUAUUGGACAAUGGGCGAAAGCCUGACCCAGCAAUGCCGCGUGAGUGAUGAAGGCCUUAGGGUUGUAAAGCUCUUUUAACCGGGAUGAUAAUGACAGUACCGGGAGAAUAAGCCACGGCUAACUACGUG
rnacentral:rRNA from 1 species